AAGCAAAUUCAGAAGAAGAAGAAUGUGACGAUUUAGAUAUAGAACAUAAUACCAAUGUUAGUUCUGUAUUAGCUUUAAAAAAAGAACAGAGAGAAAGGGCUAAAGAACAAAGUWUACGUAAAAAAGAAAAAGAUAAAGAAGACAGGACACAGAUAGCAUGUCUCUAAAAAAAAUUGUUAUCAUCAUUACAAUCGACCAUGUUAUWUAAAAUCGCAAUCACACUUUACAGAGAAAAACAAAAGCAAUUGGCACAAGAAAAAAAAGACGCAAAGAAGAAAAAAGCUCAAAAAGUCGAAAGAAAGCGUUGAAUAUCUUCAUGAACAAGAAUCCUCUGCAGAUUAUAAAAUAUGUUAUUUCUUUCAAUGUAAUUAGAAUUUGGUCGACAUCCAAUAAUUACAAUAAUUCUAAUGCUUAAACAUUUGUACUGUGUUUGAUUAAUUAAAACAAUGUUGAUUUUA